AACGAAACGACUCUCGGCAACGGAUAUCUCGGCUCUCGCAUCGAUGAAGAACGUAGCGAAAUGCGAUACUUGGUGUGAAUUGCAGAAUCCCGUGAACCAUCGAGUCUUUGAACGCAAGUUGCGCCCGAUGCCUUUGGGCUGAGGGCACGUCUGCCUGGGUGUCACGCACCGUCGCCC
rnacentral:rRNA from 1 species